rnacentral:rRNA from 1 species
GACGAACGCUGGCGGCGUGCCUAACACAUGCAAGUCGAACGGACAGGCCCUGCUUUUGUGGGGUGCUCGAGUGGCGAACGGGUGAGUAACACGUGUGUAACCUGCCCUUGACUUUGGGAUAACUUCAGGAAACUGGGGCUAAUACAGGAUAGGAGCUCCUGCUGCAUGGUGGUGGUUGGAAAGUUUCGGCGGUUGGGGAUGGACUCGCGGCUUAUCAGCUUGUUGGUGGGGUAGUGGCUUACCAAGGCUUUGACGGGUAGCCGGCCUGAGAGGGUGACCGGCCACAUGGGGACUGAGGUACGGCCCAGACUGCUACGGGAGGCAGCGGUGGGGAAUAUUACACAAUAGGGCGGAGCCAGAGGCAGCGACGCCGCGUGCGGGAUGACGGCCUUCGAGUUGUAAACCGCUGUCGCCUGAGACGAGGCGGGAGUGACGGUAAUGGGUAAGGAAGCACCGGCUAACUACGUG